rnacentral:rRNA from 1 species
UACGUAGGGGGCGAGCGUUGUCCGGAUUCAUUGGGCGUAAAGAGCUCGUAGGCGGUUCAGUAAGUCAGGUGUGAAAUCUCCGCGCUCAACGCGGAGCGGCCACCUGAUACUGCUGUGACUCGAGUCCGGUAGGGGAGUGUGGAAUUCCCGGUGUAGCGGUGAAAUGCGCAGAUAUCGGGAGGAACACCAGUAGCGAAGGCGGCACUCUGGGCCGUGAC